UUAGGGCUGCUAUUGUUUUAGGGCAAGCUUGAAUUGUGAAUCACGGCAUCGCUAUAGCAACUAAGUACAAAAGGAAGCGAGGCAAGAGGCCUCCUCUCGGCAGGGACCUGCGCUCUUCCAAGGGAGAGCAUCUGCCCCAUUUUGACACCUGCGGUCCCAUCUCUGCUGACAGUUGGGGAGAGGAAUGAGCGGGGAGCCAAAAGUCAAGGGGCAGAGUGCUCCUAAUGCUUCUGCCUCCAGAGGCCAGGACCAUAUACAGUUAACUGGUACUGGAGUCAGGCCGAAAGUAAGACCUUCCCUUUGGAGAAAGAACUGCUUCGGUUCACAAAUGCACUUCCUUCUAGGGGCCAUGGGCUGCCUGGGCGAUUGAAUGGAGCCGGUUAGAGCAAGGAAGGAGACAGGCAGCCCUACUUGAGGACUAUGGUUCCACAAAUCAGUGUGGAGAGGGGGCUUGCCUGUGUGCUCUCUGAAGAGGUACAGAAGUCAAGUUACAAGGUCUUAAAGGAGCAGAGAGAGGGAUCGCAGCAGGCAUGGCUGCAGAGACAUAUUGGCCGGGAGAAAAAAGGAAACCAGGACCCAAAGAGAACAUACUAGGGAAGAAGCAUGGCUUACUUUCACGAUGCUGUGGAUGUGGAAAAAUCUGAGAUUUGUUUGUUAUAGUAGCAAGGACACCAGAGUUGCAGAGAAAAGCAUUCAUGCUUAGAUCCCUGCUCCUCAAGGUCUAAGUUGUGAUGUCACUCUUUAUCAUGGGGGACAUGCUCCUCCCAGACCCAGGAGAGCCCGUGAAUCUUUAGCACACGGAGAAGCUUGAGAAGCAAGCCUGAAGAGGUGUGUGUUAUCCAACUUGUCCUUCAGAAGAACCAGUUGUAAGACCUUGAGUGACAUUCCUCUGUUGAGACGCAUGAGGGCGCUCAAGCCAACUGACGAUGUGGAGAUGUUUCCUAAAUUAAAAAGG